GCUGAGGGGGCAACUGGGAGCACUGGGAGCAACUGGGGGGGCAACUGGGAGCGGCUGGGGGGCAACUGGGAGCACUGGGGGGCAACUGGUCCUUACUGGUCCUUACUGGUCCUUACUGGUCCUUACUGGUGUUACUGGUCCUUACUGGUCCUUACUGGUGUUACUGGUGCUACUGGUCCUUACUGGUGCUACUGGUCCUUACUGGUCCUUACUGGUGUUGCCGGUGCCCGCUUGCAGCGCCGCCAGCAGCAGCCGCCACAACCCGGUGCAGCUGUGGGACGCCUACGACGGCCGCGUCAGGGGCAGCUUCCGGGCCCACAACCACCUGGUGAG
rnacentral:lncRNA from 1 species